CGCUGGCGGCAGGCUUAACACAUGCAAGUCGAACGAUAUAGUGGCAGACGGGUGAGUAACGCGUGGAAACGUGCCUUUCACUACGGAAUAGCUUUUGGAAACGAAAGGUAAUACCGUAUACGCCCUCCGGGGGAAAGAUUUAUCGGUGAAAGAUCGGUCCGCGUUAGAUUAGCUAGUUGGUGAGGUAAGAGCUCACCAAGGCGACGAUCUAUAGCUGGUCUGAGAGGAUGAUCAGCCACACCGGGACUGAGACACGGCCCGGACUCCUACGGGAGGCAGCAGUGGGGAAUAUUGCGCAAUGGGCGGAAGCCUGACGCAGCGACGCCGCGUGGGGGAUGACGGCCUUCGGGUUGUAAACCUCUUUCGCCAGGGACGAAGAGCAAUUGACGGUACCUGGAGAAGAAGCACCGGCCAACUACGUGCCAGCAGCCGCGGUAACACGUAGGGUGCGAGCGUUGUCCGGAAUUAUUGGGCGUAAAGGGCUUGUAGGCGGUCCGUCGCGUCAGGAGUGAAAACUCGGGGCUUAACCCCGAGCCUGCUUUUGAUACGGGCGGACUAGAGGGAUGCAGGGGAGAACGGAAUUCCUGGUGGAGCGGUGGAAUGCGCAGAUAUCAGGAGGAACACCGGUGGCGAAGGCGGGUCUCUGGGCCGAUACUGACGCUGAGGAGCGAAAGCGUGGGGAGCGAACAGGAUUAGAUACCCUGGUAGUCCACACCGUAAACGAUGAGAGCUAGUUGUCUGCAGGCAUGCCUGUAGGUGACGCAGCUAACGCAUUAAGCUCUCCGCCUGGGGAGUACGGCCGCAAGGCUAAAACUCAAAGGAAUUGACGGGGGCCCGCACAAG
rnacentral:rRNA from 1 species